GUGCUCGCUUCGGCAGCACAUAUACUAAAAUUGGAACCAUAUAGAGAAGAUUAAUUAGCAUAGCCCCUACGCAAGGAUGACAGGCAAAUUCGUGAAGUGGUUCAUAUUUUU
rnacentral:snRNA from 1 species